rnacentral:lncRNA from 1 species
GCUUUUCUAGUCUCCUUUAAAUUGGUAGCAGCAGCUCUGCCAUCUGCCCACUCCAAGGGCUUCUCCUAACCCUCUCCUCCUGGCAUUGCCUAAUGGCUGUCAGCAUUGGAAACCAGUCUUACCAGUUCCUGAGCUGCCAGCCACCUUCUUCAAGUGUCUGGACCAUAGGCCCUUCUCCUAGAAGCUGGCCUGCAGGGAAUUAGCAAGGAUCUGUGCCGGAGGGCAACUCUGCAGGCCUGGCCAGAGGUAGACACCACGGACCCGGAGAAGACACUGAAUGGUCAGGGCUCCACUGAGACCCACAGUCACAUCACACAGGCCCUUUACUGGGAGAGCCAAGCCCUUCCCAGAACAGUUCACGAGCUUCAGGCCUUAAAUCUCAGCUGGAGCUUUUCAGCUCUAGUUUUUCCUCCCAGUUAUUUAUCUUCCCUCUGUGGCUUCAGGCAGGUCACCCUGCGGUGCUGCCGUGCCCCCCUCUUUGCGAAACAGAGGAGAUUACUACUGACUUCCCGAUGAAUCAUCAUCCUAGAUGUUCCCAGCCAACCACAGAUGCCGACGAAGCCAGGAUGGUGCCUCCCUCCGCUGCAUGCCCUGGGAUCAGCUGAGCUGAAUAAAUCACAUUUGUUGCUGAGUAUCAUGCUGGGGAGUUUGCGUGGAGAACAGCCCAGCAGAGCUGCUAUACUGUCACCCUCUUUUUGGCUUUCUGUGGUUUCGGUGCCUGUACACACAUGUCCAUGGGGAGAAAAUGACAUCUGCAUGUAUCACACACUCUCCCCAGCACGGCUUCUGCUGAGGUCGGUGGCUUCAUCACCGAGGGAAGGCUGGCUCCAUGAAAGCUGUGUUGAGUUUUACAGAACUUCUGGAAAACCUAGACCACUAGCUGUCAUGCUGUAACCUGUGUACCUUUACAUCUGUUUUGACCCUAAAUUCACAAACCUAAAAUUUAAGGCAAAUAAAUCAUGAAACAUAAGCUUGCGUGAAGACA